AGGCACUGUUUGAAAAGUAUUUGGGUGAUGUUUUAUCAGAAAUGAAAGAUACAACAGCAGGAAGCCAUUCAGCAAUCCCUGACAAGGGAGGUCCACUGUCAAUUGCUGGGAGGGCCCCCACCUGUUUCUUUCAAUGGUGCUCCCAAAUCCCACCUCUUGGGCCUCCCAUCCCAUCCUUUUUGGUCCCCUCGGGCAUCUCCUCCCCAGGAUCUGCUCUGUGUCCUACCCAGGGUCCCCAAACAUCCUCCCACUGAUCAUUCCCAAAGCUUUUCUUUCCGUCUUUCCCCUCAGACCUUUGCCUUUCCCCCAGGCCACUGCCCUGGUACCUCCCAAGACCAUUCCUUGCCUCCCUCUCCAGUCCCAACCAUCUCCCAGUCCCCUCGUUUUUGUCCUCCUCCAUCCUCCUCCUCCUGUCCCCACCAAGCCUCUCCCUUGCAGUCCCCAUGUCCCUACACUUGAAUUCCUUUCCCCUCCCCUGCAUCCCACACAGGGCCCCUUCAACACCCCAAUCCCAGUCCCCUGGGCUCCCCAGUUCCCCCCAGUUCAGCAUCUUUGGGUCCCCCCAACCGCCCCCCACCCUCCCUGCAGGCCCUGAAUUCCCCUGGCUCUCCUUGUCUCCAUCCCCACCCUGGGCCCUGCAGGAACAGGGGUUGGAGGUGAAACUGGGUGGAGUGGGAGCGGGGGGAGCAGAAGGGAUUUUCCCCCUCAGACGGGGGCAGCCCUGGGCUGGGGGGUCUGGGGACACCCGUGUCCCUCCCCCAGCCCCACAGGGGCCAAUCCUGAGCAACCCUUUGCUCUCCUUCCCUAGGCACUCUUGGCAGGAACCCAAAAUGAUCUGCGGGAGCUGCAUUUAGUGGACGUUGGGAUCCUGAAGAUGGCUCAGCCCCCUGUGGUGGAGAAGGUGGUGGGUCCUGUUGGUGAGAUGUGGCUGCAUCCCUGGAUGUGUGAGGACUGGUGGUGACACCCGUGCCCUGUCCCACUCCAGUGCCAUGAAGAGAUGAUCAUCCCUGGAG